AUUGAACGCUGGCGUCAGGCCUAACACAUGCAAGUCGAACGAGUGGCGGACGGGUGAGUAAUGUCUGGGAAACUGCCUGAUGGAGGGGGAUAACUACUGGAAACGGUAGCUAAUACCGCAUACCAUCAGAUGUGCCCAGAUGGGAUUAGCUAGUAGUGGGGGUAACGGCUCACCUAGGCGACGAACCCUAGCUGGUCUGAAAGGAGGACCAGCAACACGGGAACUGAGAAACGGUCCAGAUGCCUACGGGAGGAAGCAGUGGGGAAUAUUGCACAAUGGGGGAAAGCCUGAUGCAGCCAUGCCGCGUGUAUGAAGAAGGCCUUCGGGUUGUAAAGUACGUUCAGCGGGGAGGCGUUACCCGCAGAAGAAGCACCGGCUAACUCCGUGCCAGCAGCCGCGGUAAUUC
rnacentral:rRNA from 1 species